rnacentral:rRNA from 1 species
GACGAACGCUGGCGGCGUGCUUAACACAUGCAAGUCGAACGGAAAGGCCCUGCUUUUGUGGGGUGCUCGAGUGGCGAACGGGUGAGUAACACGUGAGUAACCUGCCCUUGACUGUGGGAUAACUUCAGGAAACUGGGGCUAAUACCGGAUAGGAGCUCCUGCUGCAUGGUGGGGGUUGGAAAGUUUCGGCGGUUGGGGAUGGACUCGCGGCUUAUCAGCUUGUUGGGGGGGUAGUGGCUUACCAAGGCUUUGACGGGUUGCCGGCCUGAGAGGGUGACCGGCCACAUUGGGACUGAGGUACGGCCCAGACUGCUACGGGAGGCAGCAGUGGGGAAGAUUGCACAAGGGGCGGAAGCCUGAUGCAGCAACGCCGCGUGCGGGAUAACGGCCUUCGGGUUGUAAACCGCUUUCGCCUGUGACGAAGCGUGAGUGACGGUAAUGGGUAAAGAAGCAACGGCUAACUACGUG